CGGCCCCAACUUAGGUUGGGGAGCUGACGAGUGGCGCACGGGUGAGUAACGCGUACGCAACCUACCCUCAAGAGGGGGAUAGCCCCGGGAAACUGGGAUUAAUCCGCCAUGUGAUCACCGAAUUGCCUGGUUUGGUGAUUAAAGCUGAGGCGCUUGAGGAUGGGCGUGCGUGCUAUUAGCUGGUUGGUGAGGUAACGGCUCACCAAGGCGACGAUAGCUAGGGGGCGUGAGAGCGUGACCCCCCACACGGGUACUGAGACACGGACCCGACUCCUACGGGAGGCAGCAGUAAGGAAUAUUGGACAAUGGGCGCAAGCCUGAUCCAGCCAUCCCGCGUGCAGGAUGACGGCCCUAUGGGUUGUAAACUGCUUUUAUCAGGGAAGAAGUCUCGAGAUUGAUUUUCGAGUUGACGGUACCUGAUGAAUAAGCACCGGCUAACUCCGUGCCAGCAGCCGCGGUAACACGGAGGGUGCAAGCGUUAUCCGGAAUCACUGGGUUUAAAGGGUGCGUAGGCGGCAUGAUAAGUCAGAGGUGAAACCCUGCGGCUUAACCGUAGACCUGCCUUUGAUACUGUUGUGCUUGAAUGAGGUUGGGGUCGGCGGAAUGUGACAUGUAGCGGUGAAAUGCAUAGAUAUGUCAUAGAACACCAAUUGCGAAGGCAGCCGGCUAGACCUGAAUUGACGCUGAGGCACGAAAGCGUGGGGAGCGAACAGGAUUAGAUACCCUGGUAGUCCACGCCCUAAACGAUGUUCACUCGACGUAUGGCCUGUGGGGCUGUGCGUCCAAGCGAAAGCGUUAAGUGAACCACCUGGGGAGU
rnacentral:rRNA from 1 species